GUGUACGCCUGUUACGUUGUCAGUGUCUUUACAGAAGAAGAAGACAGUUUUGAUUUCAUUGGUGGAUUUGACCCAUUCCCUCUCUACCAUGUUAAUGAAAAGCCUUCCAAUCUUUUGUUCAAGCAGACGUAUCUGCCUGCGUAAGUGACAAGGAUCCAGCGACCGGAGAGGUGGGAAGCAUCCAUCCCACAACUGAAAUGCCAAAUGUUCAGCUGGGUGCUGGAGGCAGCCAGGGAAUGGGAGAUGCCUUCCACUUGAAAGAGCACGCCUCCAUGAGAUCACUAUCCUCUACUUGGUGCUUCAGGCUUGCUGGCAUCUGCUCAGACAAUGCCUCAUUAGUGGAUUUUGUAGGUUUUUGUUAUGAAUGAAUAUUUCCUUCUUUCUCCUCCCUGCCCAGGCCCUAUUCUUUACUCUAUUGGGACUAUGAAGAGAGCAUUUGGGAAAUACAUAUUUGACUCUUUUCUUCUGUACGAAAACGAACUGCCUCGCCUCUGGAUAUUUCGAGGCAUAAACUUGGUUAUUAUCAGUGGACUAAUUCUCACUCCCCUUCAAUCCCCGUCUACCCUGAACAACCUCAACUUUGUCGUUUCUAUUAAUGGACAAGCUGUUAAUUAAAAUUAUCUGUA